rnacentral:rRNA from 1 species
UACGGAGGAGGCAAGCGUUAUCCGGAAUCAUUGGGCGUAAAGCGUCCGUAGGUGGCUAGUCAAGUCUGCGGUCAAAGACUGGGGCUUAACCCUGGAAAGGCCGUGGAAACUGACGAGCUAGAGUGCAGUAGGGGUAGAGGGAAUUCCCGGUGUAGCGGUGAAAUGCGUAGAGCUCGGGAAGAACAUCGGUGGCGAAAGCGCUCUACUGGACUGCAACUGACACUCAGGGACGAAAGCUAGGGGAGCGAAUGGG